UUUCGGAAGAUAUGUUUCUUCCGCAUAACAUUACAAGAAGGAUUGAGUACCUGGAAAAUAAUUUUCAAAGAGGAAAAAUUGUCCUGUACAUGUAGAGUGGAUAUGUGCCUUUUAUCAGCCAUAAUCAACAAUGGCAUCGUCCAAUCCUCGGCGACGGCGCAAUAGCUUGAAUAUACCUCCCAAUAUAUCUGAUAGUGUUCGUCUCUUCAAUGAACUCUACGACAGACAUUACCCUGAACUCCAGGAGAUCAUACUGGCAUUGCAUAGUUUUGUUAAAAUAUUUGAAGAAUAUUUCAAAAGGUCUACCGAAGUCUCUAGAAGAGGAGGAAUUUUGGCAAUAACCGGGGGGACCAUCGUCAUCGCAGGAUUAGUUUUAGCUCCACUUACUAUGGUGGCUUCUGCUGCCGCAGCGGUAGGAGCAGGCAUGGCCUUAGGUGGUGGAAUUGGCAGUGGUCUCGUAAACUUAUUCAAAAUGUACCAGCAAGAUAAACUAUUAAAAAACAUUGCAAAUGGACUUAAAGGAUUUCAGAACAAAAUCGACCCUAUGGCUGACAUUCUUAAUGUCAUCUCAAAAAAACCUGAAAUACUGAAAGACCUUAAUACGCCAGAUGGUGAUAUCUGUUAUAUUAUGAAAUGUGGUGAAAUAUUACGCAUCAUUCGGAUAGGUGACAUCGGUGAAGUGGCUGGACAGAUGUCUAAAACAGUGCGUUUGACUGCAGCCCUUACG